UAAAUAUUUAAGUAAUUGCUCUUUCCCGUCCCUGAAUGACAUUUUGGCUAAAUUUUCUGUAACUGCUGUUGUUCCUCUGGUUAUUAAAUUGUGUAAAAUGCCCACCCCUUCCUCUCUCCCUUCCUCCUUCCCUGUCUUCUCCCUCCCUCUGUAAACAGCUGUCUCAUUCACCUCCAGUCAAAACACCCUGGGACAUCCUGGGGCCCAGAGUAUCCUGCAAGGCUCAUGUGUGACCUCCUGGGAAGCAGGUGGCUAUUGAGCCUGGCAGUCUCUCCCGAGGAGGAUGCGGCAGAGGGGCUCACCUUGGAGCGCCAGGAAGAGCAGCUGAGCUGUGCUGAGUGGGGUCUGUCUCCACCCGGUAUUUGUGGUAACCACAGGCUUCGGGAUAGUCUGCUUCUACCUGGGCACAGCUGUGGAAACUUCCUCGGGCCUUAGAUUUUGCAUCAUUAGGGAUCCGCACCCAGGCAGGCCCAGUCCUUGACACUAUCUGAUCCAGGGAGCUGCCUUGUGGGGAUGCAGACCUUCUACAAACAGGCACACUAUGCACCAGGCACCCAGCACAGUCACCCUGGUGCUCCACUCUCAAAAACAAAAGAAGGAUGGAGACCCACUGGAUGCAUAAAGAAGACCAGAAAUAAGAGAAAGAAAUAGGAGAACCAGCCAACCUCAUAGGGAAAAUAAAUAUUUCAGAAAGCAGAAGAUAAUCCCUCAAAAUAUUAACCAGUGUCUUCAGAGAAAUGAAGGUCUGGGGCCUAUAAUGAAAAGAAAAUAAAAAUAAAAUAACUGCUGUCAGAAAGGAAUCACACGGAGAAGCAGCCAAUAGUCCUACUGACUGACAUAACAAGUACUGACGAAGUUGUACAUGUGCCGAUGUCAUUCCUUCCUUCCGACCGCCGAAACAAACGUUAGAAAGAACAGGAAAUUCAACUGCAGGCCAUUGUAAACUCAAGUUCCCAGAGAGCCGCCAUGCCCAUGCUAAGGAGUCUACAAGGCUAUUGAUUAACUGGACCUUUGUAAUGAUGUGCCACCAUAAGCCCAGAGCCGCAAUGCCAACUGAUCAUGGACCAAGAUCUCCAAAACUGUGAACCAACAUACACUUUUCCUCUUUGCAAAUUGGCUUCAUAAAGUGACAGAAAACAGAUGGAUACUUUCUACAUGUCAAUAAAAAUGAAGAAAACGGUGAGCAGGAUCAAGUACUUGCCUAGCUCACAUGAGGUUCCAAGUUCAGGCCUGCACACAGCAAGAAAAUCGAAGAGAAGUUUCUGAUCUGCCUUGCAGCAAUAAGACCCUCAUGCAAGACCUUGCCUUGCAUCCUUAAGAGAAGAACACUGAAGGAUCCACCCAGCUGUCUGUCAGCACAGACUUCACUCAAUCACAUUUUCACUGUUGUUCACAGUUCCAUCAUACCGUUGUAAUGAAACCUCCAUAAAACCCAAAAAAGGGAGGCUGGAGAGAUGGCUCAGUGGUUAAGAGCACUGACUGCUCUUACGAAGGUCCUGAGCUCAA